rnacentral:rRNA from 1 species
AGUGGCAGACGGGUGAGUAAUGUAUAGGAAUCUACCUAGUAGUACGGAAUAAUUGUUGGAAACGGCAACUAAUACCGUAUACGCCCUACGGGGGAAAGAUUUAUCGCUAUUAGAUGAGCCUAUAUUAGAUUAGCUAGUUGGUAAGGUAAUGGCUUACCAAGGCAAUGAUCUAUAGCUGAUCUGAGAGGAUGAUCAGCCACACUGGAACUGAGAUACGGUCCAGACUCCUACGGGAGGCAGCAGUGGGGAAUAUUGGACAAUGGGCGAAAGCCUGAUCCAGCCAUGCCGCAUGAGUGAAGAAGGCCUUUGGGUUGUAAAGCUCUUUCGGUGAGGAAGAUAAUGACGGUACUCACAGAAGAAGUCCUGGCUAACUCCGUGCCAGCAGCCGCGGUAAUACGGAGAGGGCUAGCGUUAUUCGGAAUUAUUGGGCGUAAAGAGCGCGUANGCUGGUUAGUAAGUUAAAAGUGAAAUCCCAAAGCUCAACUUUGGAAUUGCUUUUAAAACUGCUAACCUAGAGAUUGAAAGAGGAUAGAGGAAUUCCUAGUGUAGAGGUGAAAUUCGUAAAUAUUANGAGGAACACCAGUGGCGAANGCGUCUAUCUGGUUCAAAUCUGACGCUGAGG